rnacentral:tRNA from 1 species
UUAGCUCAGUUGGUAGAGCAACUGACUUUUAAUCAGUGGGUCGCAGGUUCGAAUCCUGCACGGCUCACCA